rnacentral:rRNA from 1 species
GACAGAGGGUGCAAACGUUUGCUCGGAAUCACUGGGCGUAAGGGGCGUGUAGGCGGGUAGGCAAGUCGGGCGUGAAAAUCCCUGAGCUCAACUCAGGAACUGCACUCGAAACUGCUUAUCUUGAGUGCCGGAGAGGAAAGCGGAAUACCUGGUGUAGAGGUGAAAUUCGUAGAUAUCAGGUGGAACACCAGUGGCGAAGGCGGCUUUCUGGACGGUAACUGACGCUGAGACGCGAAAGCGUGGGGAGCAA